rnacentral:rRNA from 1 species
CCUACGGGGGGCAGCAGUGAGGAAUAUUGGUCAAUGGGCUUACGCCUGAACCAGCCAAGUCGCGUGAGGGAAGACUGCCCUAUGGGUUGUAAACCUCUUUUGUCAGGGAGCAAUUGGCGCUACGUGUAGCGUUAUCGAGAGUACCUGAAGAAAAAGCAUCGGCUAACUCCGUGCCAGCAGCCGCGGUAAUACGGAGGAUGCGAGCGCUAUCCGGAUUUAUUGGGUUUAAAGGGUGCGUAGGCGGCAGGGCAAGCCUGAUGUGAAAGCCCGGGGCUCAACCCCGGGACUGCAUUGGGAACUGCCCC